AGAACGCACUAUCCCUUCUGCCUGAAGAAAUAUAUUUGCCUUUCUCUGUUUGGGCUGAUAUAAUGCCGAGUUUCUCAAAUUUGGCAUUAUUGACAUUUUGGGAUGGAUAAUUCUUUGUUGUGGGGAAUAGCAUGUACACUGCGGAAUGUUUAGUAGCAUUCCUGGCCUCUACUCAGUAACACCAAUAGCACCCCUCUCCCAUUUGUGACAACCAGACAUAUCUCUAGACAUUGUCAAGUGUACUCCAGGGGACAAAACUGCCCAGUUUAAAAUCACUAAUGCAAUGGAAAGAAGCCAGCCCUCGGUAAUUCUUCUGGACCAUAAGUAAGAAAAGACAGACUGAGGACACACAGAAUCCGGCUUACAAGGAAAAGAAGUUUUGUUCUUGUUAUCGGAUUCAAAUGAAAAUCACAUGUUUGCAAACCACCCUCUAUUAUGAGAGAAAGACCAUAUCAUCAGCCCCGUGUGACUAAGAAGAUGCUCAUUGUUUGGCUUCUUUCAGAUGCAGGGAUGACUCAGCAUCAAGAGAGAAUUAACAAUUGAUGUAUCAUGGGAUUUCUCUCACAAAAUACUUAUUGGAAGAACGCUUCUCUAUGUAUGUACUAGAAAGAAUUAUUCACAUAAUUCGUUAUUUUUCUUCCUGGA